GCCUGCCUGGCUCAGUAAGGAGAGUGUGUGACUCUUGAUCUCAGGGUCAUGAGUUCAAGCCCCAUGUUAGGUG
rnacentral:tRNA from 1 species